rnacentral:rRNA from 1 species
UACAGAGGUCUCGAGCGUUGUUCGGAUUCAUUGGGCGUAAAGGGCGCGUAGGCGGCGGGGUAAGUCUGGUGUGAAAUCUCGGAGCUCAACUCCGAAAUUGCACUGGAUACUGCUCUGCUAGAGGGCUGGAGAGGAGAUCGGAAUUCACGGUGUAGCAGUGAAAUGCGUAGAUAUCGUGAGGAACACCAGUGGCGAAGGCGGGUCUCUGGACAGUUCCUGACGCUGAGGCACGAAGGCCAGGGGAGCAAACGGG